CCAAUAUUACUUGUGCUGCUGC
rnacentral:miRNA from 1 species